CAAUUACUCGCUCCGUCCUAAAAUUCUUGUCUUAGAUUUAUGUAGAUAUGAAUGUAUCUAGUUACAUUUUAGUAUUAGAUACAUUUAUUUCUAAACAAACUAAGACAAGAAUUUUGAAAAGGGGAGAGUAUUAU
rnacentral:pre_miRNA from 1 species